GAUCAUGGCUCAGAUUGAACGCUGGCGGUAUGCCUUACACAUGCAAGUCGAACGGCAGCGACGGGAGCGUUGCUCCGUGGUGGCGAGUGGCGAACGGGUGAGUAAUACAUCGGAACAUACCCUGAAGUGGGGGAUAACGUAGCGAAAGUUACGCUAAUACCGCAUAUUCUGUGAGCAGGAAAGAGGGGGAUCGCAAGACCUCUUGCUUUAGGAGCGGCCGAUGUCGGAUUAGCUAGUUGGUGAGGUAAAGGCUCACCAAGGCGACGAUCCGUAGCGGGUCUGAGAGGAUGAUCCGCCACACUGGGACUGAGACACGGCCCAGACUCCUACGGGAGGCAGCAGUGGGGAAUUUUGGACAAUGGGCGCAAGCCUGAUCCAGCCAUGCCGCGUGAGUGAAGAAGGCCUUCGGGUUGUAAAGCUCUUUCGGUGGGGAAGAAAUUGCUUCGGUUAAUACCUGGAGUAGAUGACGGUACCCGCAUAAGAAGCACCGGCUAACUACGUG
rnacentral:rRNA from 1 species